rnacentral:lncRNA from 1 species
CGUUGUAAACUAUUUCUAUGAAUGUGUAAGAAAUAUAUAAUAUUAAGAACACUGUGUCAGUGUGAAGUGAACGUUUUUGAUAAUAAAGUCGGAUAAUAUAUUCGUGAUACUCUUUAUUUUGUUGAGAAGUUACUAAACAAUGAUGUUGUGAUCGACGGGAAAACAAUUAUAUGCGAUGUCUAAACUUGAAUGGGAUUGAUUAAAAGAUCAAAAGACCAAUACUGGAAAAGCUGCAUGAUGACAGUGACAAAAGGCGCUAAUCGAAGAAAACAACUAUCAGAGACGAACAAUUACAUAUGCAUAAGAUACACAUGACCAAGAGAAGAACGAAUAGACAUGCAUAACAUCCCAGGUCAAAUAUUGAACAAGGGUCAGAAGAAAGAAUAGAUUUAGACAUUUGUGAAAGGAACAAUGGAAACUUUGGAAGUGUUCUCUUUCUGAAACGUAUAACUACAACAAAGAUGUGAUCAUUGUAUUAGAAACUGAAUUUUCCAGUCUUCUAGUGGUUUAAUUAGCAUACAAUGAUAUAUACCUUCAUGUUUUUAUACACUUAUCUUUUUUAUAUUUUUUAAUCUUUAUAUUAUAUUUGAUCGAAGUAGCAAUGAAAAAAAACGGGAAUAUAUAAAUAUAUAAGAGAAAAUUAUUGCAUUUUUUACUUGGAAUAACUUAAAGCAGAGAUAUGACGUUUCAUUGAGCCUUGAUAUCAGCACAAUUUUACGUGAUAUUAGUAACUCAUUUUAAUGGAAUAUAGCGGAAUCUGUCCGGAAAGCGAUGCGACCCUGAUUCAGCCCAUAUGUUUACUCGUAUAGAAUACCUUUUUAAUCUUAUUUGAAAUUCCUUUUUAAAUCAAAAACUAUUUAUUUGUAUGAAUGGGAUCGUUCGACAAAGAUUAAAGAUAUCAGGAAAUUAUUGCUAUAUUUCUUACGAAGCUUUUAAACUUAAGUACUGACCUAUUAUAUGUUAUGGAAACAGAAUUAGUUACUUUAACUAUUUUUCCAUUUUAAAAUUGAAAAGCAUUUGUAACGGGUAUCAAAUGUAAAUUGUCUCAAUUAUAAAGCUUUGUAUAAGCGGCUGUUACAUACGACUGUAUAUUAGUCAAAAUAGUAGGAAGCUUUUACUGGCGAGGCAACCCAGUUUCAAUUUCUCAGUCGGACAUAUUUAUUGUUGAUUAAGCAUUUUUAAAAUAGUUUAGAAACAAAAGAUCAUGUUCUAACACUCAUUAUAUUACAAACUUUCCAGAAGGAUCAUUCUUAGCCUAAAUCUGGAGUCCAGGUGUUUUUUAUUUUUUAAUAUACAUUUCUCUGUAAAGCUAUUGUAUUUCUUUUAAAUUGGAUACUUUUACUCUUUGUAUAAGAUACGUUAUUAUUAUUUUGAGUAAGCAUACAGCUGAAGCAUCUUUAGUUCAGAUGCUUUGUCUGUGUGGAUAACAUCAAAGCGUAUAUAUCAGAAACACUAAAAAUAACAGAUAAAAGUGAAAAAUGUAAAUUGAAACAUUCGCAAUAUCUAAUUUUAAUAGAUGAUGUUUUAAAGGAGAUUCGGACCAGGAACUAAAGAACUAGGAAAUUCUACACGGUCGGGUAUGCGUAACACUAUACCACACGGCCGACCAGUCGAUAAAAAGUAUGUAGAUAUAUUUCUCUAAUUAUGUGGUUGACCUUGCUCAAAUGACAGGUCAUCCCUAUUAAAAUUGCUAGUUUUAUGCAUGUGCAGGCUUUUCAUUUACUUUGCAAAUAAGUUAUAUAUGCAACGAUAAAGAUGUUUACUAAGAUUAACAUAUACAUACACGAGAUACUGGAAAAAAUUAUAAGCCACGGAUAGGGUAGUUUUGAUACAAGAACACCUUUAUAUUUUACUCUGCGGGUCUUAGUCGUGUAACGUAUUGUUGAAAUUACAAUGAUAUCUUAAACAAUGUGCGUCAUUUCAAGUCUAUGAUUCACAGGUUUUGAUUUAUUCAUGCUAAUGUUAAAGAUCUAGUAAGAAAAGUAUAUUAACAUAGGCAUUAUUGCUAUACACUGUAACACCUUUAUACGUCUUUUCACAACAUGUUCAUAUUUGUUAAAGGGAGCAAACUCAAAUAAAAUUGAUCAAUUUUAAAAUUGUUUUUAUAAUUUUGAGUUACGAAGAAACCAAUUAAAGGGAGCAAACUCUUUGAAAGAUAAACGUUUUAUUCCGUAUUUAUUUUGUGCUGUAAUGCAAAUUCUGUGGUUGCAGACUUACAAUGUGUUUCCUAGUGAGUACGUAUUUUAAUAAGAAAUAAUGUAAGACUAUAUAAGCACAUAUAUUGUCAACAUAUUACUUACAUUUUAUUAGGGAAAUAUUGUUUAUAUUAUUAACCUGCAAAGAUUAAAUUAAAAUCUGUAAAAUGA